rnacentral:rRNA from 1 species
AGAGUUUGAUCCUGGCUCAGGACGAACGCUGGCGGCGCGCCUAACACAUGCAAGUCGAACGGAGUUAUUUUCUUCACUCCGAGCUUUUUGCCGGUUAGCCGGAGCGGCAAUCGGUUUUGCCCAGCAUAAAAAGCAAAACCGAUUUAGGCUCAUAAAGUAAGACUAACACAGAGGGCAGAGAGUUGGGAGUGAAGAAAAUAACUUAGUGGCGAACGGGUGAGUAACGCGUGAGUAACCUGCCCUGGAGUGGGGGACAACAGUUGGAAACGACUGCUAAUACCGCAUAAGCCCACGGCCCGGCAUCGGGCUGAGGGAAAAGGAUUUAUUCGCUUCAGGAUGGACUCGCGUCCAAUUAGCUAGUUGGUGAGGUAACGGCCCACCAAGGCGACGAUUGGUAGCCGGACUGAGAGGUUGAACGGCCACAUUGGGACUGAGACACGGCCCAGACUCCUACGGGAGGCAGCAGUGGGGGAUAUUGCACAAUGGGGGAAACCCUGAUGCAGCGACGCCGCGUGGAGGAAGAAGGUUUUCGGAUUGUAAACUCCUGUCGUUAGGGACGAUAAUGACGGUACCUAACAAGAAAGCACCGGCUAACUACGUGCCAGCAGCCGCGGUAAAACGUAGGGUGCAAGCGUUGUCCGGAAUUACUGGGUGUAAAGGGAGCGCAGGCGGACCGGCAAGUUGGAAGUGAAAACUAUGGGCUCAACCCAUAAAUUGCUUUCAAAACUGCUGGCCUUGAGUAGUGCAGAGGUAGGUGGAAUUCCCGGUGUAGCGGUGGAAUGCGUAGAUAUCGGGAGGAACACCAGUGGCGAAGGCGGCCUACUGGGCACCAACUGACGCUGAGGCUCGAAAGUGUGGGUAGCAAACAGGAUUAGAUACCCUGGUAGUCCACACCGUAAACGAUGAUUACUAGGU